UCUCCGUUGGUGAACCAGCGGAGGGAUCAUUGCAAGGCACCCGCCCCGCGGGGACAGCCCCCCAAACCCACUGUGAACCGCUACCGUACGACGUUGCCUCGGCGGGCCUUGCCGCCGGCCGGGGGACCCCAAACCCUGUCUCUGUGCCUCUCCGCUCGAGGGCCAGCGUGUUGCAUCCCUGAGGGGUGGGAGCGAAUUUGUCAGUCAAAACUUUCGACAACGGAUCUCUUGGUUCUG
rnacentral:misc_RNA from 1 species